GGUUAAGUGACUAAGCGUACACGGUGGAUGCCUUGGCAGUCAGAGGCGAUGAAAGACGUAGUAACUUGCGAUAAGCCCAGAUUAGGUAGUAACAACCAUUUGAGUCUGGGAUUUCUGAAUGGGGAAACCCACGUGCAUAAGCACGUAUCCUUACCUGAAUACAUAGGGUAAGGAGGCGAACCGGGGGAACUGAAACAUCUAAGUACCCCGAGGAAAAGAAAUCAACCGAGAUUCCGAAAGUAGCGGCGAGCGAAAUUGGACUAGCCCUUAAGCUUUACACGCGUUAGACGAACGGUCUGGAAAGUCCGACGAUACAGGGUGAUAGUCCCGUAGUUGACGACGUGUGUUCAGUGAAAUCGAGUAGGGCGGGACACGUGAUAUCCUGUCUGAAUAUGGGGGGACCAUCCUCCAAGGCUAAAUACUACUGACUGACCGAUAGUGAACCAGUACCGUGAGGGAAAGGCGAAAAGAACCCCUGUGAGGGGAGUGAAAUAGAACCUGAAACCGUGUACGUACAAGCAGUAGGAGCAGGCUUGUCCUGUGACUGCGUACCUUUUGUAUAAUGGGUCAGCGACUUAUAUUCAGUGGCAAGGUUAACCAUCUAGGGGAGCCGUAGGGAAACCGAGUCUUAACUGGGCGUUCAGUCUCUGGAUAUAGACCCGAAACCAGGUGAUCUAGCCAUGGGCAGGUUGAAGGUUGAGUAACAUCAACUGGAGGACCGAACCGACUAAUGUUGAAAAAUUAGCGGAUGACUUGUGGCUAGGGGUGAAAGGCCAAUCAAACCUGGAGAUAGCUGGUUCUCCCCGAAAGCUAUUUAGGUAGCGCCUCGGACGAAUACUACUGGGGGUAGAGCACUGUUAAGGCUAGGGGGUCAUCCCGACUUACCAACCCUUUGCAAACUCCGAAUACCAGUAAGUACUAUCCGGGAGACACACGGCGGGUGCUAACGUCCGUCGUGGAGAGGGAAACAACCCAGACCGCCAGCUAAGGUCCCAAAUUACUACUAAGUGGGAAACGAUGUGGGAAGGCUCAGACAGCCAGGAUGUUGGCUUAGAAGCAGCCAUCAUUUAAAGAAAGCGUAAUAGCUCACUGGUCGAGUCGGCCUGCGCGGAAGAUGUAACGGGGCUAAGUAGUAAACCGAAGCUGCGGCAAUAUACUUUUGUAUAUUGGGUAGGGGAGCGUUCUGUAAGCGGUUGAAGGUGUGUGGUAACGCAUGCUGGACGUAUCAGAAGUGCGAAUGCUGACAUGAGUAACGAUAAAGGGGGUGAAAAACCUCCUCGCCGGAAGACCAAGGGUUCCUGUCCAACGUUAAUCGGGGCAGGGUAAGUCGACCCCUAAGGCGAGGCCGAAAGGCGUAGUCGAUGGGAAACGGGUUAAUAUUCCCGUACUUCUUACAAUUGCGAUGGGGGGACGGAGAAGGCUAGGUGGGCCUGGCGACGGUUGUCCAGGUUCAAGUGCGUAGGCUUAAGAGUUAGGUAAAUCCGGCUCUUUUUAAGGCUGAGACACGACGUCGAGCUGCUACGGCAGUGAAGUCAUUGAUGCCAUGCUUCCAGGAAAAGCCUCUAAGCUUCAGAUUGUAAGGAAUCGUACCCCAAACCGACACAGGUGGUCGGGUAGAGAAUACCAAGGCGCUUGAGAGAACUCGGGUGAAGGAACUAGGCAAAAUGGUACCGUAACUUCGGGAGAAGGUACGCUCUCGACGGUGAAGUCCCUCGCGGAUGGAGCUAUUGAGAGUCGCAGAUACCAGGUGGCUGCAACUGUUUAUUAAAAACACAGCACUGUGCAAAAUCGUAAGAUGACGUAUACGGUGUGACGCCUGCCCGGUGCCGGAAGGUUAAUUGAUGGGGUUAGACUUCGGUCGAAGCUCUUGAUCGAAGCCCCGGUAAACGGCGGCCGUAACUAUAACGGUCCUAAGGUAGCGAAAUUCCUUGUCGGGUAAGUUCCGACCUGCACGAAUGGCGUAAUGAUGGCCACGCUGUCUCCACCCGAGACUCAGUGAAAUUGAAAUCGCUGUGAAGAUGCAGUGUACCCGCGGCUAGACGGAAAGACCCCGUGAACCUUUACUACAGCUUGGCACUGAACAUUGACCCUACAUGUGUAGGAUAGGUGGGAGGCUUUGAAGCACGUACGCCAGUAUGUGUGGAGCCGUCCUUGAAAUACCACCCUUGUAGUGUUGAUGUUCUAACGUCGACCCCUAAUCGGGGUUGCGGACAGUGCCUGGUGGGUAGUUUGACUGGGGCGGUCUCCUCCCAAAGAGUAACGGAGGAGCACGAAGGUGGGCUAAUCACGGUUGGACAUCGUGAGGUUAGUGCAAUGGCAUAAGCCCGCUUGACUGCGAGAAUGACAAUUCGAGCAGGUGCGAAAGCAGGUCAUAGUGAUCCGGUGGUUCUGAAUGGAAGGGCCAUCGCUCAACGGAUAAAAGGUACUCCGGGGAUAACAGGCUGAUACCGCCCAAGAGUUCAUAUCGACGGCGGUGUUUGGCACCUCGAUGUCGGCUCAUCACAUCCUGGGGCUGAAGUCGGUCCCAAGGGUAUGGCUGUUCGCCAUUUAAAGUGGUACGCGAGCUGGGUUUAGAACGUCGUGAGACAGUUCGGUCCCUAUCUGCCGUGGGCGUUGGAAGAUUGAAGGGGGCUGCUCCUAGUACGAGAGGACCGGAGUGGACGAACCUCUGGUGUUCGGGUUGUGUCGCCAGACGCAUUGCCCGGUAGCUAAGUUCGGAAUCGAUAACCGCUGAAAGCAUCUAAGCGGGAAGCGAGCCCUGAGAUGAGUCUUCCCUGAUACUUUAAGUAUCCUAAAGGGUUGUCGGAGACUACGACGUUGAUAGGUCAGGUGUGUAAGUGCUGUGAGGCAUUGAGCUAACUGAUACUAAUUGCCCGUGAGGCUUAACCAU
rnacentral:rRNA from 1 species